AUGUUCAUCUCAGCAGCACAUAUACUAAAAAUGGAAUAAUACUGAGGAGAUUAGCAUGGCCCCUGCAUAAGGACAACACACAAAUUCCUGAAGCAUUUCAUAUUUAU